rnacentral:rRNA from 1 species
UACGUAGGGUGCGAGCGUUGCCCGGAUUUAUUGGGCGUAAAGGGCGCGUAGGCGGCUCGGCACGUCCGUUGUGAAAUCGCCCGGCUCAACUGGGCGGGGUCAGCGGAUACGGUCGAGCUUGAGCAAGCUAGGGGGCAAUGGAAUUCCCGGUGUAGUGGUGGAAUGCGCAGAUAUCAGGAGGAACACCGGUGGCGAAGGCGGGUCUCUGGGCCGAUACUGACGCUGAGGAGCGAAAGCGUGGGGAGCGAACAGG